rnacentral:ribozyme from 14 species
GAAUGUGCUGCAUGUUGAAAGGAGAAAGAAACUAAGACUAAGGAAGAAGAAAAUAGGAAAAAAAAAAAAAAAAAAAAAUAGAGCGACUUUCUAUCU